rnacentral:rRNA from 1 species
GAUGAACGCUGGCGGCGUGCCUAAUACAUGCAAGUCGAGCGAACAGACGAGGAGCUUGCUCCUCUGACGUUAGCGGCGGACGGGUGAGUAACACGUGGAUAACCCACCUAUAAGACUGGGAUAACUUCGGGAAACCGGAGCUAAUACCGGAUAACAUGUUGAACCGCAUGGUUCAACAGUGAAAGACGGUCUUGCUGUCACUUAUAGAUGGAUCCGCGCCGCAUUAGCUAGUUGGUAAGGUAACGGCUUACCAAGGCAACGAUGCGUAGCCGACCUGAGAGGGUGAUCGGCCACACUGGAACUGAGACACGGUCCAGACUCCUACGGGAGGCAGCAGUAGGGAAUCUUCCGCAAUGGGCGAAAGCCUGACGGAGCAACGCCGCGUGAGUGAAGAAGGUCUUCGGAUCGUAAAACUCUGUUAUUAGGGAAGAACAAAUGUGUAAGUAACUAUGCACGUCUUGACGGUACCUAAUCAGAAAGCCACGGCUAACUACGUG